CAAAAAUACCAAGUCAUUUUUGUCAGUGUGACUCCAUUAAAUGUUCUUGUGAUAAAGAAUGUGUGUGCGUGUGAUGUAGAUUAAACAUGAAUGGGCCAAAACGGACAUGGCAGCAGGUCAAAAUCAAAUACAAGAACAUUCUGCAGAAUGGUAUGGUCCGUGACUAAUAUUUAACAAAGCACAAGCAUAUAUUGUACCCAGAAGGUGCCUGCUCACACAUUGUCUGUACUGUUUUAGCAGUGAAAAAGAAUACCCACAGACAAGGCAUGGGUGGUGGGUCACCAAAGGCUGACCUUACCCCAGCAGAGGACAUGGCCUUGGAGCUAAAUAAAGGCAGGCCCGUCUUAGAGGGGAUCCCUGGGGGGAAAGAGACGAGCAUAGGUUCCUCCCAAGAUGCCACCCGCUUCAUUCAAGGUAUGUCCUAUACAGUGGGAAAACCAGCCUGGCAACAUAAGCUCACAAGCUAUCAGAAAGUUGUAUGGCAACCACCUCCGGCGCCAAAUAGAACUGGCAGACAUAGACAUUCAGUACAAGAAGAAAAAGAUAGAAAAUCUUGCACUGGAGUCCGAAAUAAAAAAGAGGACAAUUAGGAAACUGGACCUUGAAAUAAAAAAACUUUAGAGGGAGGUGAGAUAUGCCUUCAAUGUACACUGUAUGCUAACUGUAACACAAAUGUAUUAAUAAUUAUUUUUCUUUCCUCCCCCAGCUCCAAGAAGAUGACACGGCUCAAAAUAAAAAUUAGGUAUAUUCUCGUAAAGUCAAGUGAGCCAUGACAUAUGAGCUCUUAUUGUGAGCACACAGGACGGUGGCAUCUUUCUAAGGUAUUUUUUAUUUUCACAGCAAUCAGUACAACCAAGUCAUCGUUAUAAGGCACCGGCCUCUUUUGCCCAGCACCAGGUGUGGCCACUAGCCUAUAUGAAGGCCCAAAAUUGUGUGUUCCUUUCUGCUCUGACAAUGGCAUGCCCAUUCUUGCGAGAUGUGGUGGAUGAAGAAGCACUUGUGCUGAGGAGAGCCUUCAGGCGAGAAAGGGUCUUCAGGGACCGGUUGGACCCACUGGCCUUCCCUGAUGACCAUCUAUAUGAAAGAUACAGGUUUUCUGCAGAUGGCAUCAGGUAUCUAUGCAGACUACUGGAUCCCAGGAUUAAGCACCGCACUGCACGGAGCCAUGCACUGAGUGUGGAGCAAAUGGUUUGUGUGGCCUUGCGCUUUUUUGCUAGUGAAGCCUUCCUGUAAUCAGUGGGGGAUGCAGAACAGCUGAACAAGGCCACACAAUAAGGAGUGUGUGUCUGGCUAUCAAAGCAUUAGCAGAUGUCUUCAUCUCCUUCCCUGGCCACAGAAGACUCUGUGACAUGAAAGAGUAGUUCUAUAGGAUUGCAGGUAAGAGGAUCUACAAAUUACAGGACAACUGUUAACACAUAGUAGGAUACUCAUUACUUUGUGUGACCGGUUUCCCCAAUGUUAUUGGUGCAGUGGACUGCACACACAUAAGGAUAAAAGCCCCCUCAGGUGCCCAUGAGGCCGAUUUUGUGAAUAGGAAAUCCUUUCACAGCAUUAAUGUUCAGGUGAACAUAACUUUUUGAUAUUGUCCAUUGACGAACACUCUGCAUUGCCAAUGAUGUGCAUUGAUUGGUGUAAUAUUCCUCAUCUUAUGAUUUCAGAUGGUCUGCAAUGCUGACUGUGUGAUCAGCAAUGUUGUGGCAAAAUGGCCUGGCUCAGUCCAUGACUCCAGAAUCUUUCGGGCCUCUGAAAUCUAUCAGUGCCUAUCACAAGGUAAGCCACACAACCCCCAUUUAUAACCAUCAUGGCUGUGUCAAGAAUAUCACUGUGUUUAUGAGGUAGUAAUGAGAUUUUGUGUUGACAGGUGAAUUCUCUGGUGUGUUGCUGGGAGACAGCCUUUUCUCCUGACACCUUUCACAGACCCCCCCCAGGAAGCACAGCAGGCCUACAACCAUGCCCAUGCCAGGACCAGGGCCAGAGUUGAAAUGACCUUUGGCCUCCUGAAGGCACGCUUUCACUGCCUUCACAAAUUAAGGGUCAACCCUGUUAGGGCAUGUGAUAUUACUGUGGCUUGUGCUGUCCUCCACAAUGUGGCCUGCCUGAGGAAGGAGAGGGCCCCCAGAGUGCCACCAGCCAUGGACUGGGACAAUCCGGCAAUCUUCCCUGAUGACGACAGUGGUCGGCUGCUGAGGGACCAAUAUGUGUUGAAUUAUUUUAGUUCGUAUGUGUGCUUUCAAUUUAGGUAAAAAAAUGUCCUGCUGUGGCAGAGGAAAUAGGGUUUUUUUUUUUUGGGUUGGUUUUUUUAGGAAUUUGGCCUCUUAUGAUGUUUGUGCGGUAUACUGUGUGUAAUACAAGGCUGCAGGGAGGCUACUGCAUCCAUUCAUUUGUCUGUUCAGUUGAUGUGUAUGGAUUUGUCCUGCAUUUAUUUUAGUGUGCAGACAUGCAGGGUGUGUUAUAUACAGACCUUUGAAUGUGUAUGUAUCAUUUUGUAUAAUAUGCUUUGAUUCUGUGCUUUCCAUCUUGUAGAGUCACUGUGACUUCAGUUUCGAAAGGAGCUGAUAGUUUACCUGAUUUGUUUUGUCCUUAUUCAAUUAAGGAACAUAAUGUUACACAUUGUGUUUUUAUAUUCCUAUGGAAUGUGUAUUUGUUUACAUGACAGAGUACUAGGGCCCCACUGAGGAAAAAGGAUAGUCAUAAAUUUAUGACGCUGGUUCUUUCUGCAGAAAAGCAACAUAUUCUUUUUACAGUUUUGAUAGUUAUGACAAUGUGAUACUUCAUAUUCUGGCACAUCAGCAUGUCUUUGUUUAUGAAACCAUACUGAAGUACAAUUUCACGAAAUGCCCCACAUCUGUCAUUUUAACAACUGUCCUCUAAAACAACUGGUUACAAUAUUAUGACUUGUCUUUUUUUCCCUCUGUG
ensembl:lncRNA